UAUGGAAGCUGCAAGAAUCUGUGUGUGCAGUGCAAGUGUCUGCCCGCCAUAGCAGCCUUCCUAUAGGAAUAUUGUGGAGAUCUCUGUCUGGCUCUGCAGAGUAUGGGCUUAGCCAGAUCGUUCCCCUCCAUACAUG
ensembl:scaRNA